rnacentral:rRNA from 1 species
AAUCAACGCUGGCGGCGUGCCUAACACAUGCAAGUCGAACGCGAAAGUCCCGCAAGGGAUGAGUAGAGUGGCAAACGGGUGAGUAACGCGUGGGUGACCUGCCUUCGAGUGGGGAGUAACGUUCCGAAGGGACGCUAAUACCGCAUGACAUCCUGCCUUUGAAGAGGCGGAGAUCAAAGACCGGGGAUCGCAAGACCUGGCGCUUGACGAGGGGCCCGCGUCUGAUUAGCAGUUGGUGGGGUAAUGGCUCACCAAGGCAACGAUCAGUAUCCGGCCUGAGAGGGCGGACGGACACACUGGGACUGAGACACGGCCCAGACUCCUACGGGAGGCAGCAGUGGGGAAUUGUUCGCAAUGGGCGCAAGCCUGACGACGCAACGCC